rnacentral:rRNA from 1 species
UACGGAGGGUGCGAGCGUUAAUCGGAAUCACUGGGCGUAAAGCGCGCGUAGGCGGCUUUUCAAGUCAGGGGUGAAAUCCCACGGCCCAGCCGUGGAACUGCCUUUGAAACUGUAGAGCUUGAGUGUCGGAGAGGGUGGCGGAAUUCCAGGUGUAGGAGUGAAAUCCGUAGAUAUCUGGAGGAACACCGGUGGCGAAGGCGGCCACCUGGACGACAACUGACGCUGAGGUGCGAAAGCGUGGGUAGCAAACAGG